GACGAACGCUGGCGGCGUGCUUAACACAUGCAAGUCGAACGGAAAGGCCCUGCUUUUGUGGGGUGCUCGAGUGGCGAACGGGUGAGUAACACGUGAGUAACCUGCCCUUGACUUUGGGAUAACUUCAGGAAACUGGGGCUAAUACCGGAUCGGAGCUCCUGCUGCAUGGUGGGGGUUGGAAAGUUUCGGCGGUUGGGGAUGGACUCGCGGCUUAUCAGCUUGUUGGUGGGGUGGUGGCUUACCAAGGCUUUGACGGGUAGCCGGCCUGAGAGGGUGACCGGCCACAUUGGGACUGAGAUACGGCCCAGACUCCUACGGGAGGCAGCAGUGGGGAAUAUUGCACAAUGGGCGGAAGCCUGAUGCAGCAACGCCGCGUGCGGGAUGACGGCCUUCGGGUUGUAAACCGCUUUCGCCUGUGACGAAGCGUGAGUGACGGUAAUGGGUAAAGAAGCACCGGCUAACUACGUG
rnacentral:rRNA from 1 species